CAUCAUCGGAAUUUUGGCCAUUUUAGAUCGUUGUCGUGGAGCGUGUCGCGGUCGUGGUCCGCCGCCAGGCAGCUCCAGGCCAUUGGGAAUAAUUUAGCGGCGCCCAAAGCCAGUGAAAUUGUCGCUACUAAUGGAAUUGCGGUGGCUGUUUAUACCAUGAACACAAUUUUGCUGUUUGUAAUGUGGGCUCUGGUGGCAGCGAUACCUUGUCAAGACAGGGGGUUGCAAGUGCAUUUCUCGAUUCCUAGACAAUUUCCCUGGGCUGCGGCGAUACUUUCGUUGCACGACAGGGUUCUCGAGGAGUCAAGAAGGCGGGAUAGGAGGAAUGCUUCCGGGUUGUUAAGAGAGAUUUAUCAGAUGGACAAGUGUACUAA
rnacentral:misc_RNA from 1 species